rnacentral:lncRNA from 1 species
AAAGAAUCACUUUUUCUAAGUAUGUCGGAGUGAUUGAGCAGAGAGAAAAAUGAAUACCCUAAGCGAACUAGAAAUCUGGAAAGAACCGAAAUAGAGGCAGUGUCUCAUGACACUUUACUUGAGGACUCACCUGAUGAACUGCUGAUCAACUCUAUAGAUUCCUUCACCUAACCAGAACUGACUUCAUCAGAGAGUUAUGAUGGUUAACUCUAUCAGUCUUCUACCUGAAUGCCCCAAGAUAUUGAUGAAGUCAACAAAAACAUUGAGCCUCAGAACACAAGAAAUCUUGGACAAACUGGGAGACAGCUUGUCAGUAUCUAAGGUCUCUGUCUUGUCCUGGAGAUGUCCCCCAUCUCCUCAUCCCCAUCAGCUGAGGAUUUCCAUUUGUUUACAUGGCCCUCCAGGAUCUCUCCUGCACUUCCCCAGACUUGAUCCUGAAGCCUCCAUUUCCCUCCCUAUAGGGAAUGCAUCUGGAAAAGAGACUACCAGCAGAAGAGCAUAAAGGGGCGUGGAAGCCUAAACUGAACGAAGACCAAAGUGUGGACACUUUGCCCCUUCUUAGAAUUUGAAACAAUCACCCAUGGAAGGAGU